rnacentral:rRNA from 1 species
GUAGGGAAUAUUGGUCAAUGGACGAAAGUCUGAACCAGCCAUUCCGCGUGCAGGAAGAAGAUUCUAUGGAUUGUAAACUGCUUUUAGCAGAGAAGAAACGCCUUCAUUGAUGAGGGUUUGACGGUAUCUGCGGAAUAAGCACCGGCUAACUCCGUGCCAGCAGCCGCGGUAAUACGGGGGGUGCAAGCGUUAUCCGGAAUCACUGGGUUUAAAGGGUGCGUAGGCGGGAAAUUAAGUCAGUGGUGAAAGUCUGUUGCUUAACGAUAGAAUUGCCGUUGAUACUGAUUUUCUUGAAUUGGGUUGAGGUUAGCGGAAUGUGACAUGUGGCGGUGAAAUGCAUAGAUAUGUCAUGGAACACCAAUUGCGAAGGCAGCUAGCUGGGCCUUGAUUGACGCUGAGGCACGAAAGCGUGGGUAGCGAACAGGAUUAGAAACCCCAGUAGUCC